rfam:BtMr-AlphaCoV/SAX2011, complete genome
GACUUAAAAGUAUAUUCUAUCUACGGAUAGUUCAUACUCUUUCUAGACCUUGCGUCUACUCAACUCAACUAAACGAAAUUUUCAUCUUUUGGCGUUUGGGUUUUCCUAAAUGCCAAAGGGUGCUUGCCAAUAUUUCGGUUAGGCUGCCCCAUUUUGCUUAAAAGUAGUGUGCCUCGUACACUCCCUGCCGUAGUGUUCCGUCACUACAGAUCACAGUGUGCCUGGACCCUCUACUGUUCCGUCAGUGGAGGUGUGUGGAUACAGUGUUCCGUCGCUGUUGAAACCACUAACAUAAGCAAUGGCUUGCAGUCAGUACACAC